GGAGCUAUCAGGCGCCCAAAAAACGAAUCUUUUAGUGAUGCUCUUACACAAGGUAGCAGACAACCACAAUUUCCAAUUUUGCUACUUUCACCUAAAAUGCACACAGGCAAUAGCAAACAACCCCUAUACAGGAAUCAUUGUCGCUAGGCAAAUUUGGAUGGUGCUCUUCAACUUGCAUUUGGUGAAAACAAAUACCAUGUAUACUAAAGAAUAGAGACAAUGAAACUAGACAAGCGCAGAGACAAAGAGGUUAUAGAGUUUUUCACAAUGCCAUGUGUAUCACUGACUAGUGAUACUUACAUUGUCAAAAUACAAUUGCUACAAAUGUCCACAGUAUUAUCCAUACAUAUGCCACAAGUUCUUU
rnacentral:lncRNA from 1 species